rnacentral:rRNA from 1 species
UACGGGGGGAGCAAGCGUUGUUCGGAUUUACUGGGCGUAAAGCGCACGUAGGCGGAUCGAUCAGUCAGGGGUGAAAUCCCAGGGCUCAACCCUGGAACUGCCUUUGAUACUGUCGAUCUGGAGUAUGGAAGAGGUGAGUGGAAUUCCGAGUGUAGAGGUGAAAUUCGUAGAUAUUCGGAGGAACACCAGUGGCGAAGGCGGCUCACUGGUCCAUUACUGACGCUGAGGUGCGAAAGCGUGGGGAGCAAACAGG